rnacentral:misc_RNA from 1 species
UGCUUGGGCUGCACUUGGCAG